rnacentral:rRNA from 1 species
AAUGAACGCUGGCGGCGUGCUUAACACAUGCAAGUCGAACGAGAAAGUUUCCUUCGGGAAAUGAGUAGAGUGGCGCACGGGUGAGUAACACGUGGGUAAUCUACCCUUCAAUUUGGGAUAACAUCGCGAAAGUGAUGCUAAUACCGGAUAAUAUCCAUUGAUCUACGGAUCAUUGGAUCAAAGAUGGCCAAUCCUUGGAAGCUAUUGUUGAGGGAUGAGUCCGCGUACCAUUAGCUAGUUGGUAGGGUAAAGGCCUACCAAGGCGACGAUGGUUAGCUGGUCUGAGAGGAUGAUCAGCCACACUGGAACUGACACACGGUCCAGACUCCUACGGGAGGCAGCAGUGAGGAAUUUUGCGCAAUGGGGGCAACCCUGACGCAGCAACGCCGCGUGAGUGAUGAAGGCCCUUGGGUCGUAAAACUCUGUCA